rnacentral:tRNA from 1 species
GCGCAGGUGGCGGAACUGGCAGACGCGUACGUUUGAGGGGCGUAUGCCGAAAGGCGUGAGGGUUCGAGUCCCUCCCUGCGCACCA